UGGGAGGAAGCCUGCUUACCGUUCCAGGAGCAGCCCCACAGCAUCAAAACAGCCGUGCAUCGCUGCAAGAGAGAGAAGAAGCAAAGGGUGAUUUAUGUUUCCAUGCUGCUUGUCUGCCUACGGUGAAACAUAAUCAGACUGUGUGUGUGAGAGCGUACGCACAAUUAAGCUGACACAAAGAUCUCUUCCUGCCGGUAUUCCUUAAUCCCCGAAGUGAAAUCUAUGAGAUGCAAAACCAACACAAAGAGAUGGCGGGGAGCUGGAUGGCAUUUCCACCCUUCCUCAGCCACUGAGAUCAACCAUCACUCCCAUCUCGUCAUCCUAAUGAAGCAUCCUCGCCUAGACAGCAUCUCCAAGGGAAAACAACAGCUGUGGGGGGAGGAUGUGAACCUCACACACUGAAAUAUCCUCUUCUUUUUUAAAUAAACCUCGU
rnacentral:lncRNA from 1 species